GACGAGCGGCGGACGGGUGAGUAAUGCUUGGGAACAUGCCUUGAGGUGGGGGACAACAGUUGGAAACGACUGCUAAUACCGCAUAAUGUCUACGGACCAAAGGGGGCUUCGGCUCUCGCCUUUAGAUUGGCCCAAGUGGGAUUAGCUAGUUGGUGAGGUAAUGGCUCACCAAGGCGACGAUCCCUAGCUGGUUUGAGAGGAUGAUCAGCCACACUGGGACUGAGACACGGCCCAGACUCCUACGGGAGGCAGCAGUGGGGAAUAUUGCACAAUGGGCGCAAGCCUGAUGCAGCCAUGCCGCGUGUGUGAAGAAGGCCUUCGGGUUGUAAAGCACUUUCAGUCAGGAGGAAAGGUUGGUGGUUAAUACCUGCCAGGUGUGACGUUACUGACAGAAGAAGCACCGGCUAACUCCGUGCCAGCAG
rnacentral:rRNA from 1 species